UUCUGCCUACGGGGGGCAGCAGUGAGGAAUAUUGGUCAAUGGCCGAGAGGCUGAACCAGCCAAGUCGCGUGAGGGAUGACGGCCCUACGGGUUGUAAACCUCUUUUGUCGGGGAGCAAAGAGAGUCACGUGUGGCUCAUUGAGAGUACCCGAAGAAAAAGCAUCGGCUAACUCCGUGCCAGCAGCCGCGGUAAUACGGAGGAUGCGAGCGUUAUCCGGAUUUAUUGGGUUUAAAGGGUGCGCAGGCGGAGGUGCAAGUCAGUGGUCAAAUUGCGGGGCUCAACCCCGGACUGCCGUUGAAACUGC
rnacentral:rRNA from 1 species